rnacentral:rRNA from 1 species
AUUGAACGCUGGCGGUAUGCUUUACACGUGCAAGUCGAACGGCAGCACGGACUUCGGUCUGGUGGCGAGUGGCGAACGGGUGAGUAAUACAUCGGAACGUACCCAGUAAUGGGGGAUAACUAUCCGAAAGGAUAGCUAAUACCGCAUACGCCCUACGGGGGAAAGAGGGGGAUCGCAAGACCUCUUGUUAUUGGAGCGGCCGAUGGCUGAUUAGCUAGUUGGUGAGGUAAAGGCUCACCAAGGCGACGAUCAGUAGCGGGUCUUAGAGGACGAUCCGCCACACUGGAACUGAGACACGGUCCAGACUCCUACGGGAGUCAGCAGUGGGGAAUCUUGGACAAUGGGCGCAAGCCUGAUCCAGCAAUGCCGCGUGCGUGAAGAAGGCCUUCGGGUUGUAAAGCGCUUUUGUCAGGGAGCAAAUCCUUGUGGCUAAUACCCACCGGGGAUGAGAGUACCUGAAGAAUAAGGACCGGCUAACUACGUGCCAGCAGCCGCCGUAAUAC